rnacentral:rRNA from 1 species
UACGAAGGGUGCAAGCGUUACUCGGAAUUACUAGGCGUAAAGCGUGCGUAGGUGGUUCGUUAAGUCUGAUGUGAAAGCCCUGGGCUCAACCUGGGAAUGGCAUUGGAUACUGGCGACCUAGAGUGCGGUAGAGGGGUGUGGAAUUCCCGGUGUAGCAGUGAAAUGCGUAGAUAUCGGGAGGAACAUCUGUGGCGAAGGCGGGUUGCUGGGCUGACACUGACGCUGAAGUGCGAAAGCUAGGGGAGCGAACGGG